UUUUCCCUUAGGGCACAUGAAUGACUGAAUUUCUCAGUUCCUUGCAGUAAAGAAAAGCCAUUGUUCCAGUUCUGUUGAUGAACUGUUUCUCAAGUCUAAUCACUGAGUUAUCUGGCCAUAAAGAAAGCCUUGCACAGAGAAAUUCUGCUGAUCCUCCAGAAAGUGACCACCACGUUCUCUUGGCCAUGCUGCGUACAGCACCUGUGGGGACUGUUCCCACGAAAACCGUGAACCUUCAUCUGGCGAUGGAUGGAGAUAGAGACAGAGACC